CCACGGGCGGCAGCAGUAGGGAAUCUUUCACAAUGGGCGAAAGCCUGAUGGAGCAACGCCGCGUGCAGGAUGAAGGCCUUCGGGUUGUAAACUGCUUUUAUAAGCGAGAAAUAUGAUGGUAACUUAUGAAUAAGGAUCGGCUAACUACGUGCCAGCAGCCGCGGUCAUACGUAGGAUCCGAGCAUUAUCCGGAGUGACUGGGUGUAAAGAGUUGCGUAGGUGGCAUAAGAAGUAGCUAGUGAAAUCUGGGGGCUCAACCAUUCAGACUAUUAGCUAAACUGUUAAGCUAGAGACCGUUAGGGGUAACUGGAAUUUCUAGUGUAGGAGUGAAAUCCGUAGAUAUUAGAAGGAACACCAAUAGCGUAGGUAGGUUACUGGGACUUUUCUGACACUAAGGCACGAAAGCGUAGGGAGCAAACGGGAUUAGAUACCCCUGUAGUC
rnacentral:rRNA from 1 species